GACCCAUUAGCUCAGAUGUAGAGCACCUGACUCUUAAUCAGGAGGUCCCAUGCUCAAAGCGUGGAUGGGUCACCA
rnacentral:tRNA from 3 species